AUGAUAGCGAUGAAGCAUGUGCUUACUAUGAUAGUGAUGAACCAUGUACAUGUAUGCUUCUGCUUUCAUGGGUUGUCCGUAGUGCUCGUUGAGCCAACUACUGCUGUUGUUGCCGCUGCCGCUGCACUCAAGCUAGCAGCAGCAAAGGCAAAGAAGGAUGGUAGGUCGAACAACAUGAAGUGGCAGCCGUUCAUGUCCACGUUCGUGCUGAACAAGAUGUGUGAGCUCAUCUCUAGUGGAGUUAGGACCGACAAGGGCUUCAAGGAGGUGCACUUGAACACCGUUGCGAAGCAGGUGUUCGAGUUCUGUGGGUAA
rnacentral:rRNA from 1 species